CUACACUGCAUGGCAUCACGGGAAUCUAAGCAGUGAAAAAUUAUAUCUCUUUGUUAUUUUAAUUUGCGUUUCCCGGAUCAGUUGAAUAUUGUUUCAUACAUUACUAGCCAUUUGUAAUUCUGUGAAUUAUAUUUAUAUCUUUUGAUAACUUUUUAAUGUUUAGAACUCCAUGUUGUAAUCAUAACUGCUUGACUAUAAAAUAUGUUGCAAAUAUUUUUUCUCUGUUAUUCUCAAGAUGCUUUAAUCAUGAGUAGAUUCUUGAGGCCAAAAGAUUAUUCUAUCUUGACUUCAGUCUCUCUGGAAAAUAGACUAAUGAAUUAUGGUAGUCAACAAAUUUGCUAUAACAAAUUAUCCUCAGAUUUCUGUAGCUUAAUUCAAUAAAAGUUUAUUUUUCACUUUUGCCAACACCCCAACAUGAGGGUUCUUGGUCAACUCUUUUCCAGUGACUUAUGGGUCCAGGGUCCUUCUACUUUAUGGCUCUGCUCUCCUCUAGAUUCUUUUUUUUCUUUCUUUCUUUUUUUUAGGGGAGCAUAUGGAAGUUCCUGGGAUAGGGGUUGAAUUGGAGCUCUGGCUGAGGCCUACACCACAACCACAAUGACACGGGAUCUGAGCCGCAUCUGUAACCUAUGCUUCAGCUUGUGGCAAUGCCACAUCCCUAAUGCACUGAGCGAGGCCAGAGAUUGAACCUGCACCCUCAUGAACACUAGUCAGGCCCUUAACCCGCUGAGCCACAAUGGGAACUCCUCUCCUCUAGAUUCUUGAAGUCUUCUCCAUUCGGCAGCAAAUGAGGAAGCAGAGAGCAGAGGCUUUCACGGGGUGCUUUAUAGGCCAGUCAAACAUCACCUUCCUCCUUAUUCCUUUGGCCAAGGCAUAAUCAUGUAAAGACUAGAAAUGAGGUCUCGCUCUAAGCCUGCAAAUGUCUUUGCUGCAGUAAAUGAGCUGACAUCUCAGCAAGUACACUUCUCCAAGAUCUCACUGUGUUAUUGAAGGAAGUCUAGUGGCUCUUGGAAAGAGAGCAUAGGAUGAUCCCUACCAAAGAGUUUUCAAAACACAGAGUGCUGUUUGAAUGUCAAGAAUCAUGAUUCUGUUGGUUUGAAGUCUUGUCUCUUCCUUAUGGAACAAGAUUCAAAGUUUUCCUCAUAUUGACAGAGGAUUCUUCUGAAUUCUUUUUCAAGUGGAAAAGACAAUCUCUCUCUCUCUCGAUUCUAGAAAAAUUCUAGAGGUUCCCCUGCUCUCCUCAGACUCAGUGGCUCUGAGUGGGCUGAUCCAGUGGAGGGACCGGGAUCAGGCAGCUCCGGUGAGGGUGGAGGUGAGGGGUCGUGUGAUGACUAGGUGGUUUGGCUGAGAGCCUACAAGUCAAGUGGAGUGGAAGUGGAAUAAAUGUUUCAGGGUUGAAGAAAUAGUGUUGGGGGUGAGGUUUGGGAAUUGGUAAGGGGUCACCUUAAUAACAGACACGUUAUGGUAGAGGACAAGAACAGCCUGGAGCAUGAGUUUCUGACUCGUGUCUAAAAUGGGAGGAAGAGGGGCAAAUGCUAACCCUGGUGAUGGAAGCAGCAUUCAGAAUUGCUCCCCCAAAGGGGCGUGUGGAUUUCCAGACACACAAACAUGUUAUUAUCUUCAGCAGCCUUGGCCCUAGGACAGCCUUUCCACACCUUGGCCAUUGUGAUGCUCUCUAAACCCAGGGCUUAGUGUCUUUAGGAAGUAGUGUUUCACCACCUGGAUGGUCAGCCACCUGCAGGGAUUAUCCUAGGGCUGCUCUUUGGUGCUGCCCCCCCCCAAAUUUGGCUGGUCAGAGAAGUGAUGGAUAGACAUUCAUAACCAGAAUGACAGUGGGGUGCACAUGUUUUGUUACUGCCUUUGUGAAUACUGAGGACUGAUUUGAAUGACCUCUGACGCUGUGAGCAAUGUUCAUGCUUCAUUGGAUGCGCUGUUGAGGCCAGGGAGAGUCAUGCCCUGCUCUUCAUUAUAAAGGGGUGCUUAGUCCCAGGACCAAGCAAAGGAAGACAGCAACUUCUCCCCAGACUCCUCAGGCUCCAGUGAUGUUCCUGACCUUGGGCAAGAGUUACUUUCUCUCCUUGGGACUGGUUUCCCAUCUGGAGAAAUAGGGCAGAGUCUUUUUAAAAAAAAUAAACCUGACCCCCUUGCUGUACAGUGGGAAAAUAAAAAAAUUAUAAAAUAAAUAAAUAAAUAAAAAAUACAAAUCUUAAAUAAAAAAUAAAUACAACAUGCGAAAACCAGAGCUUGCAGGAAAAGCUGUUUUAGUCACCAUCGUUUUAUUCCUGUGUUAGUCACCAUCCUUUCUUGGUUCUGCCCCAGUGCACCAAGGCGGUCUUCCCAUUGCUGAGUUCACGUACAACUCAGUAGUCUUUAUGAUGCCCUAGACUGCUCAAGGGCUUUUAAGUGUUCCUCAUCGCUCAUUCUGGAAGAUCAGGAUGUCUCAGGGGGAUACUUCCUGCUCUGUUCCAGUGGCUUCAGUGCCUGGUACCCCUCCACACCCAAAUCCCAGCACAUUACCUAUUUCUUUCUUGUGGCCUCUCCCUGUUCGACUCACCCUUUCAAAUAAAUCUGUGUUGAUGGUGCCCUGGCCUUAAAUUUGGGCUCCUCUCUAUAUCACAGGGCUCUGGAACCACACACCAAGGUUCAUGGCUAAGUCCUAACCAGUCUUGGCAAAGGCUUAGAGUCCCAGGUGUCCCAUGGAAAGCGAGAACUCGGACAGUUGUGCAUCACAGCACUUGUCCUGGUUUUUCUGUUUGAUCAAACUUCGGAGGAUGGCAGAUGAUGCUCACAUGACCUUUAGCUCCGAGAGGUCAAGAAUCAGUUCUGCGAGAAGGGGAUGUGAAUGACCAGCCUUUCCAGUGGCUAGGGAUUUAGUACAGGAAGAGCAGGCACAUGACAGGUCCUGAGGCUACCUUAGAGAAUUCAUUUGCCACAUAUUUUGCAAAGAUGUGAGGAUCUUGACAUUCACUUGUACGUAAGUGGCAGCCAACAGGGUCUUGGAGCUGGGCAGGGUUGGAAGAUGUCCUGGCUGAUGUUUUGGUCCCAUCUUGGGGUAUUAUUCCUUGAGAUUAUCUUCAUAUGUGCAGGUCUAGGAUGUCCCUAUCAUUACAACAAAAUCAGGCUGCGCUGUUCGGGGCUUUAUGUGGGGCUGGGAGUAACCAAGGUGAUUGACAGAACACGGAGCCUGUUUUUUCUUGUGACUCCCCAGCCCCUUCUAAUUCAACAGUCGGCAAAGGCUAGUAUUACUGAGGGAAGUGUUGUAUUGUUUAACUUCUUUAGCGGGGCUAGCACAAUUCUCAGCUGAUAGUCCCUCCUCUGGCUAGACCUUGAUUUCCUCCUCUUUGUAGGGGCGCAUCUGCAAAAGAAAAAUGAAUCUACCAAGCCAAGCCAGGGAGACAGUGGUAGGAGACAAGUGCCCAUGUGGCAAGAGAGAAUUUUCUAGAAGACCGUUCUCAUUCAGGGAACCUAUCCUGGGCGGUGGUUCGCCGAGGGCAGGGUCUGUGUUUCAGUCACCAUCAUUUCCAGUGCACAUUGGGUGGCAGCAUCUGGCAUGAACAGGUGAAUCCAAGGCUGCCCUUUAGUAUCCAUGACAGAUGCUCCCAGGGCUGAGACACCCUAUUUGCUAAAGUAAAGCCCCGCAGUGCUUGCCUCACAAUUCGUCACAUAGUCUCUUUCUCUGUUGUCUUCUAAAUCUCAUCCUGUUUCUCACUGUUUACAUUGAACAUGGUUUUUGAGAUCGAGCCCUAUUCCUAGUUGUAAAUGAUGAUUUCUGACUGUUGUGUAAUAUUUCAUUAUAUUCUUAUACUAAACCCUCUAGAGAUUGAUUUCUAAGUUGCCUCCAACAACUAACUCACUUUUUUCCCAAAAUGCAAUGUCUUUAUUUGUUUAGUGUUUACUUGAAUGGUUUCAGUCAUGAAUUCAUUGUUUCUUAACUAGUGUGUGAGGUCCCCUCGAGCAGAUAAUCAGUCUCUAUCUCUUAGGGUGUUUGUAGGUGUAGACGAGAUUAUAUGUAUGAAGUGCUUAGCACAUUAUCUGCCAAGCAGAAAAUCCUCAAUAGGUGGUAUAAGCCCUCCGGAGCCUAGAACACAUUAGGACUUUAAUAAAUACCAAUUAUAAUAAUGAAUGCAUAAUUACCUCUGGUGAUCUGGGGUCUCCUUCCCCAUAAAGCAUGGUCCCAGAAUACUUGAAACAUGGGGUAUUCAGGACAUAGUAAUUAUGACAGUCACCAUUCAUCCUCCUAAAUGAUUCCCCUUUUACAGAUGAUAAAACAAACUCAGAGAGGUUUCGCAUCUUGCUUAUGAUCAUUCAGCAUAGUUAGUGGCAGAACUGGAGCUUAAACCCUGGUCUAACUCCAAAGCUUUUAUUUGUAACCACUCUGCUGUAUCACCACCCCUGGGGAAGCUGCUGAGAUUAUUACUAUUUCAGCAACAAUAGCUUUUAUUUUCUCUGUGUUUGAAUCACAAAGAAUUUUAGGUUCAGUUAAUGUUUGUAGAGACCUAAUAUGUGCCAGGCCCCUUCAGGACCUUAUUUGAGGGACAUUUGUGUCAAUUACUGAAAGACGCUCCCUCUGGGUGAAUACAGCAGUGAGCAGAUGGCUUGGUCAAUAGAAGCCUGGAUGGAUUUUGGCCUCUGCUUGUCCCCUAUCCUGGGCAUCUUGUGUGCAGUACACAAACUGCCCAAGUGUAUGCUGUGCCUGGGGAACGUGUGUUUCCUCGGUGGUAACAUGAGGGACCUCUGUACCAUGCCACAGAAUCUUCCUCUUGCAACAGUCCUGUGGGGCACAUACAAUUCUGCUGGACAGAUGAAGAGACUGAGGUUCAGAGCUGUGACACUUCCAAGGCGACGUGAUCUCAAGAUGCAGAUCCAGUGUUCAAAUUAGAGUCCUUUAGAGUUCCCCUUGUGGCUCAGUGGGUUAAGAACCAGACCUAGUGUCCCUGAGGAUGCGGGUUCAACCCCUAGCCUUGUCCAGUGGGUUAAGGACAUGUCAUUGUUGCAAGCUGCGUAGGUCUCAGAAGCGGCUCGGAUUCAACCCCUAGCCUGGGAACUUCCAUAUGCCGCAGAUGCAGCCUUAAAUAAAAGAAAAAAACAUGGAGUCCUUUGGUUUCAAAUGGCUAACUAUAAAGCAGAGUGAUCUAGUGGGGUCCCACAGAGGAAAGGAAAAGAGAUUCAGGAUUCACUAGGUAGCACCUGUCAAGCUUGGCAAGUGCUGCUGGGAUGAUCCUCAGGCUUUGAUGUAGCUCCUCCCGGUGAGUGAUGGAUGUGGUCCCCAUCAGAACUCCAGAGGAGAUGAAGUUCCAGGCAGGCUGGAAGCCCGCUGGUAAGAAAUCACCAGUGAGCUUAGGGAUGUGGGAUGGGAGUGCUUGAAGGAUGUUAUGAGCUCCUGGAAUAGGCUUCAAGUUUCAGGACACAUGCUGCACAAGGGAUUAUUAAAUAUACCUGCAGUUGCAGAGUAGCACAGGCUUAACCCAAGGCCAAGAGGUCCUGCCAGGGGCUUGGUGGAGAGGAAAAGGCUGUUGAGCAGUGAGGUUAAGAUGAGGCCUCCAGAGAAAGCCGGGCUGGGGCUGCUCUCUGGCUUGGCACUUACAAGCCCACCUCUCAGGGCUUUGAUUUCCUGUCUCCUCCCUUAUUCCUCUGUGUCUUUUCGGUCCUUUGGAGACUGAGUUAAUGAUCUCCCUGAAGAUCCACCAAUGUCCCAAAGUCCAAUCAGGGCCUCUCAUUUUAGAACGUGCUAUUAAAUCAAUAUUUCAGUGAGUUACCUGUCCUCCCACACUCAUAGGAGCGAUAAUUGCAAUAGCCAGGAUAUGGAGACAAACUAAGUGUUCAUUGACGGCUGAAUGGAUAAAGAAA
rnacentral:lncRNA from 1 species